rnacentral:rRNA from 1 species
ACGUCAAAUCAUCAUGCCCCUUAUGUUCUGGGCUACACACGUGCUACAAUGGCCGGUACAAUGGGAACCAAUACGGCGACGUGGAGGAAAUCACCAAAACCGGUCCCAGUUCGGAUUGCAGGCUGAAACCCGCCUGCAUGAAGUCGGAGUUGCUAGUAAUCGUGAAUCAGAAUGUCACGGUGAAUACGUUCCCGGGUCUU